rnacentral:rRNA from 1 species
UUCGCAAUGCCCGAAAGGGUGACGAAGCGACGCCGCGUGGGUGAGGAAGGCCUUCGGGUUGUAAAGCCCUGUCAGGAGUUAAGAAAUGUAAGUGUGCUAAUAUCGCAUUUACUUGACGAAGGCUCCAAAGGAAGUCACGGCUAACUCUGUGCCAGCAGCCGCGGUAAUACAGAGGUGGCAAGCGUUGUUCGGAAUUAUUGGGCGUAAAGAGCACGUAGGUGGGUUUGUAAGUCAGAUGUGAAAGCCUCCUGUUCAACGGGAGAAUUGCAUCUGAAACUGCUGAUCUUGAGUAUAGGAGGGGAGAAUGGAACUUCUGGUGGAGCGGUGAAAUGCGUAGAUAUCAGAAGGAACGCCGGCGGCGAAAGCGAUUCUCUGGCCUAUUACUGACACUCAGUGUGCGAAAGCUAGGGGAGCAAACGGGAUUAGAUACCCCGGUAGUCCUAGCCGUAAACGAUGGGCACUAAGUAGAGGGGUUUU